rnacentral:tRNA from 1 species
GGGUUGUGGCUCAGUGGCAGAGCUCCUCAAGGCCCAGGUUCAAUCCCCGGCAUUGCCU